CCCGCACAAGCGGAGGAACAUGUGGUUUAAUUCGAUGAUACGCGAGGAACCUUACCUGGGCUUAAAUGUAGAUUGCAUGAGGUGGAAACACUUCUUCCCUUCGGGGCUAUUUACAAGGUGCUGCAUGGUUGUCGUCAGCUCGUGCCGUGGGGUGUCGGGUUAAGUCCCAUAACGAGCGCAACCCUUACCGUUAGUUGCCAUCGGGUCAAGCCGGGGACUCUAGCGGGACUGCCACCGUAAGGUGAGAGGAAGGUGGGGAUGACGUCAAAUCAGCACGGCCCUUAUGUCCAGGGCUACACACGUGUUACAAUGGCCGGUACAGAGGGCAGCUACCUGGUGACAGGAUGCUAAUCCCGAAAGCCGGUCCCAGUUCGGAUUGGAGUCUGCAACCCGACUCCAUGAAGUUGGAUUCGCUAGUAAUCGCGCAUCAGCCAUGGCGCGGUGAAUACGUUCCCGGGCCUU
rnacentral:rRNA from 1 species